ensembl:lncRNA
GUAAGACAAAUCAUUACUGCAUUCUUAUUUUUCAUUUUUGCUACUUCUCUGUCUUCCAUAACCUAUGAUAUUCUUUGAUCUCUAAAUGUUAGGGAUUUUAACUGAUUUUGUUUUUCUUAAAAUUUCUUUCUUGAUGAUAGUUCUCAGGCAGCCCAAGUGGGGCCUGUUUAGGGCAAAUUGAGACAGCAAACCCUAAAAGGGGGGGGUCAAGGAAAGUUGAAGUCUGAGGAGAUUCUAUUAAUUCUAUUUUCAAGGUCUUUUCAGGUAAGAUUUCCCAGACAUUCAUUGUAGUAAUAUGAGAGCACAAGUGGCCUGAGCUGGAAAUCAUUCUCCCCUCCCACCGUUGUCCUGUCUCUGAAGGUCACAUUCACAUCUCUGGAACCUCUGGAAAAUUUUUCAAAACCCCAAAAUUUUCCUAAGUGCUGACUUAGGGAGCUGGAAUUCUUGAUGAACAUUUAUAGAACUUUUCCACAGGUUUCCUAUUCAUGUGGUGAAACAAUCAAUAUGGAUGAAGUGAUCGUAUAAAGCCCUGAUUCUUGCCUCGUUACAAAAUCACCACCUCAGCUACACACACAGCCAGCACACCUGGGGCCUCACAAGGUAUCUGGGGAGAGGAGAAGCCACCGCUCAUAAAUUCCUCUUACGACCUUCCAGAAUUAUCCAAUGGAGAGUACUGAGUUCUUGCGGCAACUCACAUUUGGUUGGGAACACGUUAAGAAGGCAUUUGUCUGCCUAAUGACCUGCAAGCAGGAAGGAUAUUCUGUGACCUUACUUUGUUCUGUUGACCUUCCCUGGGGACGCCUCACCCGAGGACAGUGGGCGCAGAGGGUGCUGCAGAAGCUGUAUCACCUUCAUUCUCUGCUAGCUUCAUGGUCUACAUGGGACAGCCCUUCAGUCUAUUAUUUUACAGUUGUAUUUGUGCCACGGGUAUUUUUCAAGCGCU